GACGAACGCUGGCGGCGUGCUUAACACAUGCAAGUCGAACGGAAAGGCCCUGCUUUUGUGGGGUGCUCGAGUGGCGAACGGGUGAGUAACACGUGAGUAACCUGCCCUUGACUUUGGGAUAACUUCAGGAAACUGGGGCUAAUACCGGAUAGGAGCUCCUGCUGCAUGGUGGGGGUUGGAAAGUUUCGGCGGGUGGGGAUGGACUCGCGGCUUAUCAGCUUGUUGGUGGGGUAGUGGCUUACCAAGGCUUUGACGGGUAGCCGGCCUGGGAGGGUGACCGGCCACAUUGGGACUGAGAUACGGCCCAGACGCGUACGGGAGGCAGCAGUGGGGAAUAUUGCACAAUGGGCGGAAGCCUGAUGCAGCAACGCCGCGUGCGGGAUGACGGCCUUCGGGUUGUAAACCGCUUUCGCCUGUGACGAAGCGUGAGUGACGGUAAUGGGUAAAGAAGCACCGGCUAACUACGUG
rnacentral:rRNA from 1 species